AUGAACGCUAGCGACAGGCCUAACACAUGCAAGUCGAGGGGCAGCACAAGGAGCAAUCUGAGGUGGCGACCGGCGCACGGGUGAGUAACACGUAUGCAACCUGCCUGUAAGCGGGGAAUAACCCGUUGAAAGACGGACUAAUACCGCAUAAUACUAAAUUACUGCAUGGUAAUUUAUUUAAACAUUUAUGGCCUACAGAUGGGCAUGCGCAUGAUUAGCUAGUUGGAGAGGUAACGGCUCCCCAAGGCAACGAUCAUUAGGGGUUCUGAGAGGAAGGUCCCCCACACUGGUACUGAGACACGGACCAGACUCCUACGGGAGGCAGCAGUGAGGAAUAUUGGUCAAUGGACGAGAGUCUGAACCAGCCAAGUCGCGUGCAGGAAGAAUGUCCUUAAUGGAUUGUAAACUGCUUUUGCAGGGGAAUAAAGUGCAUCACGUGUGAUGUUUUGUAUGUACUCUGCGAAUAAGGAUCGGCUAACUCCGUGCCAGCCGCUGC
rnacentral:rRNA from 1 species